rnacentral:tRNA from 3 species
CGCGGGGUAGAGCAGUGGCAGCUCGCUAGGCCCAUAACCUAGAGGUCGGGGGUUCGAAUCCCCCCCCCGCAACCA